GACAGAGGGUGCAAACGUUGCUCGGAAUCACUGGGCGUAAAGGGCGUGUAGGCGGGUAGGCAAGUCGGGCGUGAAAUCCCUGAGCUCAACUCAGGAACUGCACUCGAAACUGCUUAUCUUGAGUGCCGGAGAGGAAAGCGGAAUACCUGGUGUAGAGGUGAAAUUCGUAGAUAUCAGGUGAACACCAGUGGCGAAGGCGGCUUUCUGGACGGUAACUGACGCUGAGACGCGAAAGCGUGGGGAGCAAACAGG
rnacentral:rRNA from 1 species